rnacentral:rRNA from 1 species
GAUGAACGCUGGCGGCGUGCCUAAUACAUGCAAGUCGAGCGAACAGACGAGGAGCUUGCUCCUCUGACGUUAGCGGCGGACGGGUGAGUAACACGUGGAUAACCUACCUAUAAGACUGGGAUAACUUCGGGAAACCGGAGCUAAUACCGGAUAAUAUAUUGAACCGCAUGGUUCAAUAGUGAAAGACGGUUUUGCUGUCACUUAUAGAUGGAUCCGCGCCGCAUUAGCUAGUUGGUAAGGUAACGGCUUACCAAGGCAACGAUGCGUAGCCGACCUGAGAGGGUGAUCGGCCACACUGGAAGUGAGACACGGUCCAGACUCCUACGGGAGGCAGCAGUAGGGAAUCGUCCGCAAUGGGCGAAAGCCUGACGGAGCAACGCCGCGUGAGUGAUGAAGGUCUUCGGAUCGUAAAACUCUGUUAUUAGGGAAGAACAAAUGUGUAAGUAACUAUGCACGUCUUGACGGUACCUAAUCAGAAAGCCACGGCUAACUACGUG